rnacentral:rRNA from 1 species
CCAUUGGGCGGCAGCUACACAUGCAAGUCGAGCGGUAACAGAUCCAGCUUGCUGGAUGCUGACGAGCGGCGGACGGGUGAGUAAUGCAUAGGAAUCUGCCCGGUAGUGGGGGAUAACCUGGGGAAACCCAGGCUAAUACCGCAUACGUCCUACGGGAGAAAGGGGGCUUCGGCUCCCGCUAUCGGAUGAGCCUAUGUCGGAUUAGCUAGUUGGUGAGGUAACGGCUCACCAAGGCCACGAUCCGUAGCUGGUCUGAGAGGAUGAUCAGCCACAUCGGGACUGAGACACGGCCCGAACUCCUACGGGAGGCAGCAGUGGGGAAUAUUGGACAAUGGGGGGAACCCUGAUCCAGCCAUGCCGCGUGUGUGAAGAAGGCCCUCGGGUUGUAAAGCACUUUCAGCGAGGAAGAACGCCUAGCGGUUAAUACCCGCUAGGAAAGACAUCACUCGCAGAAGAAGCACCGGCUAACUCCGUGCCAGCAGCCGCGGUAAUACGGAGGGUGCAAGCGUUAAUCGGAAUUACUGGGCGUAAAGCGCGCGUAGGUGGCUUGAUAAGCCGGUUGUGAAAGCCCCGGGCUCAACCUGGGAACGGCAUCCGGAACUGUCAAGCUAGAGUGCAGGAGAGGAAGGUAGAAUUCCCGGUGUAGCGGUGAAAUGCGUAGAGAUCGGGAGGAAUACCAGUGGCGAAGGCGGCCUUCUGGACUGACACUGACACUGAGGUGCGAAAGCGUGGGUAGCAAACAGGAUUAGAUACCCUGGUAGUCCACGCCGUAAACGAUGUCGACCAGCCGUUGGGUGCCUAGCGCACUUUGUGGCGAAGUUAACGCGAUAAGUCGACCGCCUGGGGAGUACGGCCGCAAGGUUAAAACUCAAAUGAAUUGACGGGGGCCCGCACAAGCGGUGGAGCAUGUGGUUUAAUUCGAUGCAACGCGAAGAACCUUACCUACUCUUGACAUCCUGCGAAUUCGGUAGAGAUACCUUAGUGCCUUCGGGAACGCAGAGACAGGUGCUGCAUGGCUGUCGUCAGCUCGUGUUGUGAAAUGUUGGGUUAAGUCCCGUAACGAAGCGCAACCCUUGUCCUUAUUUGCCAAGCGCCGUAAUGGCGGGAACUUCUA